CUAGUACUCCCCUCGUCCCAAAAAUUUUAUCUUAGAUUCGUUUAAAUAUGAAUGUAUCUAGUUAAGUUUUAGUGUUUAGAUGCAUCCAUUACUAAACAAAGUUACGACAAGAAUUUUGGGACACAGGGAGUAAUAU
rfam:Hordeum vulgare subsp. vulgare, WGS project CAJW01000000 data, contig: morex_contig_245648